rnacentral:piRNA from 1 species
GCUAAGGUAGAGCUAGACACAGA